AGUACUUUGGCUUUAUGAUGUCUGAUAAGUAUUUCUGCAUAUAUUUGCAUUGCAGAGACCCCAGUUCCACCCACGACGAUUGCAAUUUUGAUAUAUGGGCAAGUGAUUCAGGACACUGAUGAUCGAACCCUACAUUCCUUCCCAAUGAGAAGACAUCGUAACUGGACCAUUCAUCGGGAAAUUACUGACGAAAUCCAAUCAAAGUCAUUAUACAGAACAGGUUGUGCGAUACAAAAGUAUCGCUGAGCACGAUGGUUUUGAUGUUCGGGUGUUCCAAUUCACGUCUUGGCCAGAGCAAGACAAUGUGUGUAAUACUUUAGACAUGCUUAAAUUCUUGAUCGACGCCCAGGAUUCAGCUGGUGAUGGUAAAGUCCUUGUUCAAUGCAGUGACGGUUGCACGCGCAGUGGUCUCUUUGCGGUCAUAUGGUAAUUGUUGAAAGAAUUAAAAGCGAUGGAGAAGAAGUUGUUGCAGAUACGGUUAGACUAACCAAAUAUCGGUGCCACCGAGUAAUUCCAAACGAGAAGCAGUACAAUUUUUGUCAUGAGUCUGCAAAUGAAUAUGUGAAAGGCUGAAUGACAUAUGCAAAUUCAUAAAUUGACCCUGUCCUAUAAUAAAGAAUAAACCGUUCUGUUAAAAAGGAUAUGUUUUAAAUGUUCGAAACUGCAAUUUGAGUGUUUGUGUAAAAUAUGACAUGAAGUAACAUUAAAUUAACAUUUAACGAGCAAAAUAACACGUGAAAUAAACACAUGUGUGUAAAAUAUUUUGACGUGUUUUAAGCGUGUUAACUGUUGUUUUUGUACAUGCUUUUUGUCAAACGUAUUCUGUUUACACCUUUUUUAUUCUAUUAAUGUGCGCCUGAUCUAUAAGAACUUAUGUUUUAUUUCAAGCUAUUGUUCAUGCGCUUGUAGGUUUGAAUCCAUUUGAGUUUUUUUCCGAUUUGAAAAUUUAUAUUCUUAAUAUUUUGACUAAUUGAUCAGCAGAACUACUUUUAAUUCAGAACAUAAGUCAACGAAAGCAUUUUUAAGGCUAGAUAUAAUUAUCAUGAUAAGGAUCAUACAAAUGUAUGAGUGUAUGCUUUUGUACAAUAAGCAUUUACGUUGUUAUUGUUUCCGUUUGUUUGAUUUUGGUUUUUAACGCUUGUAUGCAUCUGAUCAACAAAGGGAUAAGAUGUUUUGUUACCGAAAGAAACAAACAAAGCACCUUUUUACAAUUGUUUUUUUUUUGUAAGGAGAACGUUAAUAAUUACGUCCUGUAUUUUAUUGUAAAAGAAAACUAAUAAAAAAUAAAAAUAAUACCGUCUAGAAAAGAUGCAUUUCAAACUUUCCGCCUCGAAACUUCAUUGUUAAUUUAUUAAAAUAAACGUGUACUGUUUUUUCGGGUCGUGUAUAAUGAAGUACAUGUUACAUUUGUUUCCUUACUAUUUUACAAACAAUUUUACAUCUGAACACAAUCAUAAAUCAUCAAACAAAAAAUGCUUGCUAUACUUUUUUUUAUGACACAGUCGAAACAAUUCUUUUAAAUAUUAUUACUGCAGUAUAAAAUGUUUGUUAAAGUAUCUAUUGUUAUUGUUAUAUAAUACCCUUAGUUAUGUUCCUAUUGUCUGCAUUGUUAUAUUACACAUAUAAGUAUAUUUAUUUGAACUUAAACCAGAACAAAAAGUCAGACCAUUGAUGAACAAUAUAUACUUUAACUUUUGAAAGCCGAUUAGGAUGGUAAUAAUAAUGACAAUAAAAAUCAUCAUUAUUAUUUUUCACUCGUGUGCAAUCAAUAGCCGUAUCCAUAUUGUAUAUGUAUUUGCUAGUAUGUUUCAUAAUCAGCUGAUUUCUCUUUUCAAUUUUUUUUGCGGAGUUUGGUAUAAAUCAACAUUAAUUGAUGGCAUCCAGUUAGCAAAACAAGAGAACUAUUGAAUGAUGAUCAUACAGAUAUUAGUUUUAUGCUUCAUAUCGUUUAAUUGGAACCUCUAACGUGAUAAUGUACAUAUCUAUGUAUGUUAUGGAUGUAUUUUGCCAAAGUGUCCAAACUUUUUAUGGAUGUAUGCGAGACAUGAAUCUGGUCGGUGGAUCUUUUCUCGCACUAGCAGAUUAAAUAUACAAUCCAUUAUGAGCAGGUAGCUUAGUUUUGACCAGUAUGGUAUGAUUUAUCAUCUUUCUGCGUUAUUUGCUCGGAUCAUGUCUGUAUUUUUCACUUGAAGUUCAACAGAGCAUGUGCAAACAUGACUUUUAAAUACAUAUAAUGGUUUACAUAAAAAAGAGGUCUCAAUAUUGUGCAAUAUAUCGUUCAGAAGAGUGUUGUGUCAAAUCAACCCGUGUGUAAAGCAGUGUGUAUGGUUAAUAAUUGUCGGAUUUGCUAAUGUAGAAACUAAUUGGUGCUAGUUACUACGAGAGCGUUACUUGUUACUGAAAUCAUGCAAAUUACUCAUAUAACAUGCUUGCAAGCGUGUAUUUAUGUUCAUAUUAAUUGUAUUCAUGCAACUAACAAGUCUCAUACCACGCAUAUGUGUGGCAAUACGUCGAUACAAUAAGAUACUUCAUAUGCGUACUCGUUUAUCUAAAAGAGUGGGAUAACAUUAAUACAUGAUCAGAAUUUAUGAUAAUUUAUUAUUUAUGAUCGUUAUUUUUUGUAACAUGAUUAUUCAAAUUAAUA